CUGCUGCCUCCCGUAGGAGUUUGGGCCGUGUCUCAGUCCCAAUGUGGCCGGCCACCCUCUCAGGUCGGCUACUGAUCGUCGCCUUGGUGGGCCGUUACCUCACCAACCAGCUAAUCAGACGCGGGUCCAUCUCAUACCACCGGAGUUUUUCACACUUGACCAUGCGGUCCUGUGCGCUUAUACGGUAUUAGCAGUCAUUUCUAACUGUUAUCCCCCUGUAUGAGGCAGGUUACCCACGCGUUACUCACCCGUCCGCCG
rnacentral:rRNA from 1 species